rnacentral:rRNA from 1 species
UACGAAGGGGGCUAGCGUUGCUCGGAAUCACUGGGCGUAAAGCGCCCGUAGGCGGAUUGCUAAGUCAGGGGUGAAAUCCUGGAGCUCAACUCCAGAACUGCCUUUGAUACUGGCGAUCUCGAGUCCGGGAGAGGUGAGUGGAACUGCGAGUGUAGAGGUGAAAUUCGUAGAUAUUCGCAAGAACACCAGUGGCGAAGGCGGCUCACUGGCCCGGUACUGACGCUGAGGUGCGAAAGCGUGGGGAGCAAACGGG